GACGAACGCUGGCGGCGUGCCUAAUACAUGCAAGUUGAGCGCUGAAGGUUGGUACUUGUACCAACUGGAUGAGCAGCGCACGGGUGAGUAACGCGUGGGGAAUCUGCCUUUGAGCGGGGGACAACAUUUGGAAACGAAUGCUAAUACCGCAUAAAAACUUUAAACGCAAGUUUUAAGUUUGAAAGAUGCAAUUGCAUCACUCAAAGAUGAUCCCGCGUUGUAUUAGCUAGUUGGUGAGGUAAAGGCUCACCAAGGCGAUGAUACAUAGCCGACCUGAGAGGGUGAUCGGCCACAUUGGGACUGAGACACGGCCCAAACUCCUACGGGAGGCAGCAGUAGGGAAUCUUCGGCAAUGGACGAAAGUCUGACCGAGCAACGCCGCGUGAGUGAAGAAGGUUUUCGGAUCGUAAAACUCUGUUGGUAGAGAAGAACGUUGGUGAGAGUGGAAAGCUCAUCAAGUGACGGUAACUACCCAGAAAGGGACGGCUAACUACGUG
rnacentral:rRNA from 1 species